GAGUUUGAUCUUGGCUCAGAUUGAACGCUGGCGGAAUGCUUUACACAUGCAAGUCGAGCGGCAGCGCGGGGCAACCUGGCGGCGAGCGGCGAACGGGUGAGUAAUGCAUCGGAACAUGUCCAUGUCGUGGGGGAUAGCCCGGCGAAAGCCGGAUUAAUACCGCAUACGCCCGAGAGGGGAAAGCCGGGGACCGCAAGGCCUGGCGCGAUUGGGUUGGCCGAUGUCCGAUUAGCUAGUUGGCGGGGUAAGAGCCCACCAAGGCGAUGAUCGGUAGCUGGUCUGAGAGGAUGAUCAGCCACACUGGGACUGAGACACGGCCCAGACUCCUACGGGAGGCAGCAGUGGGGAAUUUUGGACAAUGGGGGCAACCCUGAUCCAGCGACGCCGCGUGUGUGAAGAAGGCCUGCGGGUUGUAAAGCACUUUUAGUGGGGAUGAAAAGCGCGAGGCUAAUACCGUCGCGUCUUGACCUAACCCCAAAGAAAAGCACCGGCUAACUCUGUGCCAGCCGCCGCCGUAAC
rnacentral:rRNA from 1 species